UGCUGACUGGAAUGUGAUGCCCUGUAUGUGCCUUUCCACUCACACGGCCUCCUCUGCAACCCUCCUUUGGGAUGACUUAAAUACUACAAACCACAGGGGCACUGGGACCUCCCAGGUCCCUCUUGUAGUCUGAAACUCCAGACUGGUGAUGCAUGACAUUGGUGCUCACACCACUGCAUGGUGUCACACCUGGCACUCAGGAAGCCCACAGGAUAAAGCAUGCCCUGUCUUUACCAGCUCAUAAUGGGUAGCUGGGCAUUAGAGAGCUCCCAGAGCCUGGGACUUAACAACCUCCUCAGGAUGAGUGAGGAGGAGUGGCAUUCCAUGGUGUUCUGUCCCACCUAGACAGAAACUAGAGCACCAGACAAGAGCUGUAACUGCAGGGGAGUAGUAUGGACUUCCCAGUAGUGUGUAACCUUUGGUUCAGGAAGUAUCACAAGUGUCUGUCUCUGCAGAGCCUGGUUUCACAAGCUCAGAAGUGCAUCCCUUGAGCAAUGGACGUGUACUCAUUUCACACCAACAGCUACAAGCAGCCCACACCCAGCUCCAGUCUUCAGCAGGUGGUUCUGGUUUGAAAUAUGAUUAGCAAUCUGAACAAAACCAUGGAGCUAAGAAUAAAAGAGGCAAUUAGGGUUACAUUCAGGUCUCCAGUUAAAAAGAAAACAAGACAAAACACUUUCAACUUCAGAUGGGACACGGCACCCCAGAUUUUGUGUCACAAUGAAAUGAGGACUUCUAAGCUGAGACAAGCCUCAGCUGAAAUAGGAAUGCAAACCCCUACCAGAAUCUAGCAGAAGAGAAACAAAGAAAGGAACAUGUUCCACCUAAAUGAGUCUUCUUUCCAGUCACCCUUGUGAAGGACUGCCCUAUGGAAAUGGUUCAGAAGAUUUAAAACAUCUUGCAGUGAAGUAGGUCAUGCACUUCAGAGCCAUUGAAAAUGUAUGGUGCUCCAAAAUCUAAAAUAAACGAAUACCAAAUGUUUCCA
rnacentral:lncRNA from 1 species